rnacentral:rRNA from 1 species
UACGAAGGGGGCGAGCGUUGUUCGGAUUUACUGGGCGUAAAGGGCGCGCAGGCGGCUCAUUUUGUCAGGCGUGAAAGCCCCGGGCUUAACCUGGGAACUGCGUUUGAUACGGAUGGGCUAGAGUUCGGGAGAGGAGAGUGGAAUUCCCAGUGUAGAGGUGAAAUUCGUAGAUAUCAGGAAGAACACCCGUGGCGAAGGCGGCUCUCUGGGACGGUACUGACGCUGAGACGCGAAAGCGUGGGGAGCGAACAGG